UAAUACGAAGGGUGCAAGCGUUACUCGGAAUUACUGGGCGUAAAGCGUGCGUAGGCGGUUCGUUAAGUCUGCCGUGAAAGCCCCGGGCUCAACCUGGGAAUGGCGGUGGAUACUGGCGGGCUAGAGUACGGUAGAGGGUGGUGGAAUUCCCGGUGUAGCAGUGAAAUGCGUAGAGAUCGGGAGGAACAUCUGUGGCGAAGGCGGCCACCUGGACCAGUACUGACGCUGAGGCACGAAAGCGUGGGGAGCAAACAGG
rnacentral:rRNA from 1 species